rnacentral:rRNA from 1 species
GUGAGCGGCAACAGCUCAAAUUUGAAAUCUGGCUUCGGCCCGAGUUGUAAUUUGCAGAGGAAGCUUUAGGCGCGGCACUUUCUGAGUCCCCUGGAACGGGGCGCCAUAGAGGGUGAGAGCCCCGUAUAGUUAGAUGCCUAGCCUGUGUAAAGCUCCUUCGACGAGUCGAGUAGUUUGGGAAUGCUGCUCAAAAUGGGAGGUAAAUUUCUUCUAAAGCUAAAUACCGGCCAGAGACCGAUAGCGCACAAGUAGAGUGAUCGAAAGAUGAAAAGCACUUUGAAAAGAGGGUUAAAUAGCACGUGAAAUUGUUGAAAGGGAAGCGCUUGUGACCAGACUUGCGCCGGGCAGAUCAUCCGGUGUUCUCACCGGUGCACUCUGCCCGGCUCAGGCCAGCAUCGGUUCUCGCGGGGGGAUAAAGGCCCUGGGAACGUAGCUCCUCCGGGAGUGUUAUAGCCCGGGGCGUAAUGCCCUCGCGGGGACCGAGGUUCGCGCAUCUGCAAGGAUGCUGGCGUAAUGGUCAUCAGCGACCCGUCUUGAA